rnacentral:rRNA from 1 species
GAGUUUGAUCCUGGCUCAGGAUGAACGCUGGCGGCAUGCCUAAUACAUGCAAGUCGAACGAGAGGAGAAGAAGCUUGCUUCUUUGAAUCUAGUGGCGAACGGGUGAGUAACACGUAGGUAACCUGCCCAUGUGCCCGGGAUAACUUCUGGAAACGGAUGCUAAAACCGGAUAGGUAGCAGACAAGCAUUUGACUGCUAUUAAAGUGGCCUUGGCCAUGAACAUGGAUGGACCUGCGGUGCAUUAGCUAGUUGGUGAGGUAACGGCCCACCAAGGCGACGAUGCAUAGCCGGCCUGAGAGGGCGGACGGCCACAUUGGGACUGAGACACGGCCCAAACUCCUACGGGAGGCAGCAGUAGGGAAUUUUCGUCAAUGGGGGGAACCCUGAACGAGCAAUGCCGCGUGAGUGAGGAAGGUCUUCGGAUCGUAAAGCUCUGUUGUAAGAGAAAAACGGCACUCAUAGGGAAUGAUGAGUGAGUGAUGGUAUCUUACCAGAAAGUCACGGCUAACUACGUGCCAGCAGCCGCGGUAAUUC